UACAGAGGGGGCAAGCGUUAUUCGGAAUUAUUGGGCGUAAAGGGCGCGUAGGCGGCUUGGCAAGUGGAAGGUGAAAUCCCUCGGCUUAACCGAGGAACUGCCCUCCAAACUGCUUCGCUUGAGACCGGGAGAGGUGAGUGGAAUUCCCAGUGUAGCGGUGAAAUGCGUAGAUAUUGGGAGGAACACCAGUGGCGAAGGCGGCUCACUGGACCGACAUUGACGCUGAUGAGCGAAAGCUAGGGGAGCAAACGGG
rnacentral:rRNA from 1 species